UAUCAUUUUUUUUGUGUGUGUGUGUGUGUAUGAGGCAAUAGGGGUUAAAUGACUUUCCCAGAGUCAUACAGCUAGUCAGUUUCAAGUGUCUGAGGCUGGAUUUGAACUCAGGUCUUCCUGACUUCAGGAUUGGUAUUCUAUCUACUGCACUAUCCAGCUGCCCCACAUAUAUAAUUUAAAAAGCCUUAUUGCCUUUUGUUUAUCAAUCACCUCUCUUCAAUUUUAUUUUAUACUCUUUCCUAAAUUCCUUGUUCCAGUCAAACUGGACUAUAAACUAUUCCCUGAAGUCAACCAAGUGGCUAGAGCCCCAGGCUUGGAAUCAAUAAAAUCUGAAAGGAAAGAAGGAAGGAAGGAAGGAAGGAAGGAAGGAAGGAAGGAAGGAAAGAAGGAAAAGAGGGAGGAAGGAAGGGAGGAAGGAAGAAAGGGAGGAAGGAAGGGAGAGAAGGAGGAAAGGAGAGAGGGAGGAAGGAAGGGAGGAAGGGAGGGAGGGAGGAAGGAAGGAAGGAAGGGAGAAAGAAAUCUAUAAUAUGUGGUACAGAGGCUAGAAUACUGAGACUAGAGUCAGGAAGUGGUGGGUUCUAAUUCUGCUCCAAACAUUCACUAGUUCUGUGACCUUAGACAAGUCAAUUAACUUUUGUCUGCCUAAAGACUUACAUGAACUGAUGCUAAGUGAAAUGAGCAGAACCAGGAGAUCAUUAUACACUUCGACAACGAUAUUGUAUGAGGACAUAUUUUGAUGGAAGUGGAUUUCUUUGACAAAGAGACCUAACUAAGUUUCAAUUGAUAAAUGACGGACAAAAGCAGCUACGCCCAAAGAACGAACACUGGGAAACGAAUGUGAACUAUCUGCAGUUUUGUUUUUCUUCCCGGGUUAUUUAUACCUUCUGAAUCCAAUUCUCCCUGUGCAACAAGAGAACUGUUCGGUUCUGCAAACAUAUAUUGUAUCUAGGAUAUACUGCAACAUAUCCAACAUAUAAAGGACUGCUUGCCAUCUAGGGGAGAGGGUGGAGGGAGGGAGGGGAAAAAAAAAUCGGAAAAGAAAUGAGUGCAAGGGAUAAUGUUGUCAAUAUAAAGUAAUCAUUAAAUAAAAAAAUUAAAAAAAAAUUAAAAAAAAAGAAAGUUAUCCAAAAAAAAAAAAAAGAAAUAUAGGCUAAAUCUAAUAAACGCAUGCAUAUUUAUACAAUGAUCUUGCUGUACAAGAAAAAUCAGAUCAAACAGGAAAAACAAUGAGAAAGAAAACAGAAUGCAGGCAAACAACAACAAAAAGAGUGAAAAUGCUAUGUUGUGAACCAUACUCGGA